AUCUCUGACGUGCCGUCUCUGAAGAGACGAGGUGCGCCAAACACUACGUAAGGCAGAGACCGAGACGGGCAGGAACACGGUCGGAAACACACUGUGGCGUGCAGAGGCCGGCUGGUGCAGACAACGAGGCAGUCAGCAACGGGCUGACAUAGAUGCCGAGUCCGGCACAGACAGGAUAUGGCAUUCACCGAGGCUGGCAUACAUCUCUUGGGGAGAGUUUAGAAAUCCGGUCUCUGUCGGACUGUUUCUGAUGUACUGUCUGUGACGAACGCGGUCUGUGCCUGCACGCACUCUGAUGUGCCGUCUCUGAAUAGCCGAGGUGCGGCGACCCCCACCUAAGGCAGAGACCAAGAGGGGCAGGAAAACGGUCGGCCACACAGCGAGUCAUGGAGAGGCCGGUUUGUGCAGACACCGACGCAUUCAACAACAGGUUGAUAUUUGACUAAGGACACCAAUAUGUUACCAGCCGUUUGACGUGCGCCCCGAAUUCCGCGCCCACCAAUAUUUGCAAAUAAUGUACCAGAGAUUUAUAUUCAGUGUUUUUCUGUGGCGAUUUAUAUUAAUAAUUGACGUACUAUCAUUCACGAAUGUUUAGUCCGAUUCCUUCGUUAUAUGAUACUUAUUUAUAAUGUAUUAGAUUGGGUCAUCGUUACUCAUGAAUCUGCUACGUAUUUGGGUCAACAUCUACACUGCAUCAAUUUUGCAAGAAACAAUUCUUCUGUUAUCAUUAUGUAAUUUUAGACGUGUUAUGAUGUAUUACACGCAUAUAAGCACUAUUUGUGUUAUAUGGGAAUUGUGUAAGCGCGUAAUAUCGUUAUUGGUAAGUGGUCGUGGCCGAUUUUGCGCAUCCUCCACCUCACGAUUCAGGAUUGUCCGCGGUGUUACAUCAGAGAGUAAAUGGACACAGCUCCUAUCUCGUUUUAUAGUAGACUUUUGUCCUCUGCCGAAAAACGCUACAAUACUUAUGAGAAAGAAUAUUUGGCAGUGUUAUUCGACUGUGAAAAGUGUAGGAGUAACCUUGAACACAAGGAAUUUGAAUUACAGUGUGAUAAUCUGGCUCUGGCUUGGCUCCUUAGAGGGGUUAAAGAUGUAGGUCAGCUAGGCCGGUGGAUAAUGCGACUCGCGCACAUUAAGUUUAGAGUCACACAUACUCGGGGAAUUGAUAAUGUGGUGGCUGAUGGGUUAUCGCGUAUGUUUGAAGGAUGGGAGGCCGUUGAACCGGAAGCGAGUUGUAUGGCUUGUUGCAAAUGUUGCCCCUAGUGUAUUCUUCCCUUGCGGAACAGCAGAAAGAGGAUCCCUUUUGUUUGGAUUUCCUUGAGAGGGGGAGAAAUGGUGAGUUGGUCGGAGGGAACUUUCGUGUAGACCAAGAUCUCCUUUGCUAUCAACUGAGAGGAGUUAAGCGAAGGCGUUAUUAUAUCCCUCCUCCAUUACGAACGAUGCUGGUCAAAUAUUUUAUAUGAUUCUCCGCUUUCGGGACAUCUUGGGGCCUUUAAGACUUUGAAGAAGAUCACGUAUAAUUUCUAUUGGCCCAAGAUGAGGUAUGAGGUGUCUGGCUUUGUCCAGACUUGUGACUUGUGUCAGCUAGCGAAGGCCGCUCAUAAUACUCAAAUUGGGUUUCAUUCGGCAAUCCCAUUAUCUCGGCCGUUCAUUGAUUUUAUGUGUGCGAUGGUUAGAACCAAACGAGGAAAUCAAGCUAUUUUGGUCGUGUUUGAUGGAUUUUCUAAGUUUGUUGCCUUUUACCCGGUUCGGAAUAGUAACGCGACAACGGUUAGCGACGUUUUGGAACGUCGGUACUUUCCGGCUCAUGGUAUCCCUGCCUCAGUGGUAUUGGACAAUGCUAAAGUUUUCCGAUCUAAAGGUUUUUGUGAUUUGUGUUUUAAGUGGGGAAUUAAGCGAAUAAACACGACGCCUUAGUAUCCUCAGGGGUCGCUGGUUGAAAGAGUUAACCAUAAUCUUAAGUCUGCAUUGAAAAUGUUUCAUCAUAGCUCCCAGAAGUCGUGGGACGAGGAUCUUCGCUCAUUUAAUACUGCCGUCCAUGAGAGUACCAAAUUUACCCCGGCUAAAUUAUUUUUGGGACAGGAAAUUAAAUCACCCUUAGAAAUUAAUUGGAAUUUCAGCCCUGAGCUACAUGAGGAGGGUCAUCCCAUUGAGUCGUUUUGGACUCAAGCGUAUGAAAAUUUGAAAGCAGCGAAUCGCAGGGUUGCACGAAGGUUCAAUGAAGGACGCAUUUCAAAUUCAUUUGAGCUUGGAGAUACUGUAGUGUAUCGGAUGAAUUUAAUGAGUAAUAGAGUCCGCGAAACUUCUGCCAAAUUACUGCUGAAAUGGUCGAAGCCAGUGGUAAUUGCGAAAUGUUUGAAAGAAAAUUUUGUGUUGUUAGCUAAUCCGGAAACUGGGCUCAUUGUAAGGAAAGCCCAUGUUUGUCAAUUAAAAAGAUACAAGGCAUAAUUUUUAUGUAUUCUUGUUGUAUGAGCUGUGUCUGGCGAGAAUCAGGUUUAGAGGUGUAUAUUUGCAUCUGUCUCCGGCCUUCCCCUAACGCAAGGCCACACACAGCCUUUUGUUUCGUCGAUCUCUUCUGGAGGCGCCGUCGGUGGAUGGAGUUCCACGAUAGGCGAUCUUGUGGAGAAGAGGAUUAUCUUCGCCUGAUCACGGAGGCGGACCCUGUUUGGUGGGCCGCUACAAGGUAGCGAAAGUCACUGAGACUGUGAGGUCUCUCAUGAGAAAAUGUAUAUGACAGUACCAAGUGGAACUGCAAUCCCCUGGAGAAGCUGAUGAUCAUCGCUAGACUGCAGUUGCCGACCCUGCCAUGUGGGUUGAUGCAUGGCAGAACCCUUAUCAACGGUGUAACUAUCCGCUGAGACCUCUUAGGAGGACGCCUAGGGGACCGUGCCGAGUGGAAUGGACGAGGGUGCGAGUCGCUGCGGACGAGUCACGGGUGGAUGCCAUUGGGCCACUGGUGUGGCCUGUUCCUGGUACUGAGAAAUGUGCAUGAGGUGGUGUUUGCAAAUGGAACGGUGGACCUGAUAUCUGGUGGAAGAUAGGGUGGCAAAAACUUGUUUUGACCUCUGCACGGGAGUAUAUUUGAGCGAAGCUAGAGCUGGCUCUGGUGUUUGAGACGGCGGAUGGUGCGCAUGCCUGCGGGGAGGUUAAGCUUGUUGGAGAGGGAACUGAUGCGGACCAACCCUUCUCUCCAGAACACAAAGAAGUCAGUGAGACACUCUCUCUCAGCUGGUCUGUAGCUGCAGUGUGCAAACAUUUUUGUUUAUCGUAGCCAUUGUGUUUCUGCCGUGGGCCGAGAGGUGACAGCUCCGUUCCGUCUUACCGCACAUACCAGUCAGAACGUCGAUACACACAUCUUUGAGACAUGUUGGCUGUACCUUGUUCUUUGACGACACACUACGAAUCAGUAUCUUAUAUACAGCGUGUUACAAAAUUACGCAAUGGUAGAAAAACUCAAAACGAAAAUGUGAAAGGAUGAAUUGUGUACAGGGGACCGUCAGAUGGGACAAGUGUAUGAAUCACUGUGGGAGGACCAAAAGUCAUAGGACGUGAUGUACAG